rnacentral:rRNA from 1 species
GUGUCAGCCGCCGCGGUAAUACGAAGGGGGCUAGCGUUGUUCGGAAUCACUGGGCGUAAAGCGCACGCAGGCGGAUUGAUAAGUCAGGGGUGAAAUCCCGGAGCUCAACUUCGGAAUUGCCUUUGAUACUGUCUGUCUUGAGUCCGGGAGAGGUGAGUGGAAUUCCUAGUGUAGAGGUGAAAUUCGUAGAUAUUAGGAAGAACACCAGUGGCGAAGGCGGCUCACUGGCCCGGUACUGACGCUCAUGUGCGAAAGCGUGGGGAGCAAACAGGAUUAGAAACCCCCGUAGUCC